rnacentral:rRNA from 1 species
GAACGCUGGCGGCGUGCCUAAUACAUGCAAGUCGAGCGAACAGACGAGGAGCUUGCUCCUCUGACGUUAGCGGCGGACGGGUGAGUAACACGUGGAUAACCUACCUAUAAGACUGGGAUAACUUCGGGAAACCGGAGCUAAUACCGGAUAAUAUAUUGAACCGCAUGGUUCAAUAGUGAAAGACGGUUUUGCUGUCACUUAUAGAUGGAUCCGCGCCGCAUUAGCUAGUUGGUAAGGUAACGGCUUACCAAGGCGACGAUGCGUAGCCGACUGAGAGGGUGAUCGGCCACACUGGAACUGAGACACGGUCCAGACUCCUACGGGAGGCAGCAGUAGGGAAUCUUCCGCAAUGGGCGAAAGCCUGACGGAGCAACGCCGCGUGAGUGAUGAAGGUCUUCGGAUCGUAAAACUCUGUUAUUAGGGAAGAACAAAUGUGUAAGUAACUAUGCACGUCUUGACGGUACCUAAUCAGAAAGCCACGGCUAACUACGUG